ACUGAGUAUGGUGGUGCAUGCCUGUAAUCCCAGCAACUCAGGAGGUUGAGGCAGGAGGAUUGCAUGUUAAAUGUCAACCUCUGUAGUUUAGCAAGGCCCUAAUCAAUUUAGGGAGACCCUGUCUCAA
rnacentral:sRNA from 1 species